GUGAGGAAUAUUGGUCAAUGGACGAGAGUCUGAACCAGCCAAGUCGCGUGAAGGAAGACGGUUCUAUGAAUUGUAAACUUCUUUUGUGCAGGAAUAAAGUGGGUUACGUGUAACCUUUUGUAUGUACUGUACGAAUAAGGAUCGGCUAACUCCGUGCCAGCAGCCGCGGUAAUACGGAGGAUCCGAGCGUUAUCCGGAUUUAUUGGGUUUAAAGGGUGCGUAGGUGGAUUGAUAAGUCAGCGGUGAAAGUUUGCAGCUUAACUGUAAAAUUGCCGUGGAAACUGUCGGUCUUGAGUGCAAAUGAGGUAGGCGGAAUGUGUUGUGUAGCGGUGAAAUGCUUAGAUAUAACACAGAACUCCGAUUGCGAAGGCAGCUUACUGGGAUGCAACUGACACUGAUGCACGAAAGCGUGGGUAUCAAACAGGAUUAGAUACCCGAGUAGUCC
rnacentral:rRNA from 1 species